rnacentral:rRNA from 1 species
CGGCGGCCAUAGCGUGAGGGAAACGCCCGGUCACAUUCCGAACCCGGAAGCUAAGCCUCACAGCGCCGAUGGUACUGCAGGGGGGACCCUGUGGGAGAGUAGGACACCGCCG